UCUUCAAUACACCUAAAUUUCAAAAUGUGUUGUUAUCUUGUAUUGAAAAUAGCGAUACUGAUAUCAAAAUAAAAAGCCUUAAAAGACUAUGUGCUACAAGAUGGGUACAGCGCUAUGAUGCUGUACAUUAUUUUGUAUUAGAAGCCUUAGAACUAAUUUCAGACUGGAAAGAUUCAUUAGGAACUGCUAUAGAAGCCAAUAUGCUUAUAAAAUCAAUUGUUUCAGAGUUCAUUGUAUCUGUUUAUGUUAUUAAGGUGUAUAACAUUAUUUUUUUGAAAUUUAAAAUAAUUUAUUUCUUAUUCUAAUGUAAAUUAUAUAUUUUGUAAUAAGUUAUUAAUUGUAAUGUAAUUUGUAAGACAAAUCUAGCUAUUGUUUUCAUAAAGUUUGCCUCUAUGCAAACAGUUACAAAGAGAGUGAAUUGAUUUAAAAUAAGCAGUCAAUCUCACAGAAGAAAUAGUAUCAGAAUUGAAGCUAAUUAGAAGUAAUUGUUAUUGUGAAUUUAAAAAAUUAUUUAGUCUAGCAAAGGUAUAAAAUAUAUAGUUAUUAUAUAAACACUUAUGUUAAGCUGAGUAUAAUUUGUUAUAACUUAUAGGACAUGUCUGCUUAACUAGACAUUGAAUUAACACUCAAAAGAAUUAUUAAAAAACAAAAAAAACCGUGCGAAUAUCUACCGUAGAUUAUUUUAUAACUGAAUUAUAAGAAAGGAUUUUGUCUCAUUCAGAUAUUUUAAAAGUUUGAAUGCUUAUUUUCAACAAAUUCAAACUUAACCGAAGAUGAAGAAUUAUUAUUCAAAAAAUUGAUAGAAUUUUAUAGUCCUGAUGUAGAAUAUUUUGACAAAUCAUUAUUUGAAUUAAAAUUAUGGAAGCGUAGAUUAAUCAAAUGUGAAAAGCUUCCAAAAUUUGGUCUCCAAGCACUCAUUAUGUGCAAUGAACAAAUUUAUCCAAACAUAUUAUUGCUCUUAAAAAUAUUAUGUACAUUGCCAGUCUCGGCUACUUUACCAGAGCGUAUGUUUUCCACUUUGAAAAGAGUAAAAACUUAUCUAAGAAACACAAUGGGUCAGGACCGCUUGAAUGGACUUGCAAUGUUAUCUGUGCACCGAGACAUUGAGCUGAACUUCGAUCACAUACUAGAUAUUUUUAGCAAAA